rnacentral:rRNA from 1 species
UCAUACCACCCUGAAUGCACCCUGUCUUGUUUGGUUUCAAGAAAAUAAGCAGAGUUAAGCUGGUAAAUAUGUGUAUGGGAGACCAUCAAGGAGUACCAGGGA